CCCACCCCCACCCCCAUUGCGAAAUCGCUCAGCCACAGGCCUUCGCACCAAGAAGGAGGACCCUGGGGCGCCCGGAGGCGCGCGGAGAAGGCGCGGCGCCUGGAGUCCUGCACGCGGGGCUGCUGCGGCCAAACCCGGAGCAGGUUCCGGCUGACGAGAGGGAGCCGCGCGGGGAGGAAGUGAGCUCACUGGGGAAGGAAGGACGGAAAGGAAGGAGAUGCGGCUUCACUGCCGCCAGACCCGAGGCGAAGACCUGGGAGCGCGCGGAGCCCGGGAGAGGUUUCCCAGGAGACCGUGGGCCCAGCGUUUUGCGAAAUUCCGGGGCCGCGAGGACCAACUCGAAUUCCAGCGGUGCAUUCCGUCUUUCGCGCCGGGGAGACUCGCAAGGUUCAGGCCUCGAGAGCAGAAACUGGAGGCGUGUGAUUUGCGAGGACUGUUUCUGGCGGAUGCUGACCCCACGCCCCGUGCUUUGCCAUCCUCCUUCCGCCUGAGAGUUUGUUUCUGCCCCUCCUAGACACACACACACACACACACACACACACACACACACACACACACACACACACACACACACACCUCCCCUCCUCUUUCAUCAGCGCCCUCUGCAAAAGCAAGUCCUGGAGCUUUGAUUUAAGAUUAGAAUGUUGUUAUUUACCUCGGAAAAUCAAGGUGAUCGCGGCCACAAAUUAUCGAACACUCCUUAGAACUUGUGAAGUAGAACAUUAUGUUGUGGGGUCUGUUUCCAAAACCGGAAUGCAACAUCACCCGGCUGCUCCCAAGCAGUCUGGAAAUGCUGUAAAGAGGGAGGCGGGUCACCUCGCCUCGGCAUUGUAGCAGAAAAUGUGAGCGCGCCUAUAGAAGCUUUUUCACACUGACAGCAUGCCAAACGAAUGCGGGGACACCCAGCCGGUGUGCUUCUCCCGCAGGCCCCGUCCUGGGUCUACGGUAGUCACUUGGCGGCCGCAGAGCUCUUUCUCGUCUCCGGAAGAGGCCGGGAGGGUCACGAAUUCGGUCGGAGGCGGGAACAGGGGUUGCUUCUCCGCUGCACCCGGCGCGAUCCGGGCUCCAGGCCUUGUGUUGUGCCUUCCUGAAGGGCCCUGCCUUUGCCGAAGGAGCAGUCGCUUGGGCACCACAGGCGCCCCCUGUUGCUGGCCUGUGGUUCCGGCGUCCCGCGGCGACUCGGUAUUCGUGGUCCUGAACCUGGAACAGCCUGAACUCUUCUAAGUGUCGAUGUGGCUCCCAGGCCGGCCGCCCCCUGAACGACCCUGCAAACUCCAGGGUCCCUUGGCCUCGAGUCUCACAAGCGCGUUUGCAGAGACAUAACCGGAUUUGCUUUCUCUGGCUGGAGCAGGUGAGGUCUGAUUCACGCGCUCCCGUAAUUGUUCUUCAGCCACUUCUAACCUUUCCUCUGCACGUCGGGAGAGUCCAAGGUCGACCGCCCCGGGGAGUGUUCUCUCGAAUUGGGCCUGGGCGGGUGCAAAAAUCUCGACCCCGAGACGGAGAUGGAGUCUGGGCCUCUCACCAGCCAAACCGCAGCGCGAGCCAGUCCGCAGUGCGUGAUUAGGCUGCCUGAAAGUGGGGGAGGAGACACCCGGGCCCGCUCGCUAACCUGUUGGUGAGAUGCUUCCUGCAUCCAGGGAUCCGGGCAGUGGCGAGUCGAGUGGGCCUGAGCUUCGCCGCCCCUCCCCGCCCCUGCAAAAACUCAGAAGAGUAAAGGUCCUGGGGUGUGGGGCCUUCCCAGCGCGCGCUUUGUACCUGGGCAGCGCCCCUUUUGCUGAGAGCCCCGCUGUACGCCUCAGACCCUCUUUUAAUUUUUUCCACGAAGGAAAGUAAACAUCUUGCAUAUAUUUCCAUAAUGGCCAGGUCCUAAUUAUACAAGCUCAAGUUCCAGAAACGCAGACGAAGGGCGCCAAGGGCGCUGGAGAGGUGGAGGGGUGCUUGGAACUUUACCUAUAGAGAACAUUUAGUUUGUACCCUUUGAGGAGGGUCAGGAACAGACAGGAAAUGAACGCCUGGGUUUCUCAUUCCAAAAAUGGGAGCCGCGGAGUCACCUUGCAGGAGAGGGCUAGGGAGAAAACGGAUUAAUGAGCCAGCCCGGGACUGCCCUUGUCCGACCGGAGCAGUCCCCGGCCGCCAGGACUCAUCCCAGCGCCCACAGUCGACCUACUGACACCCAGUAAAAUCUCUUAAGCUUGCAGACUUAGAGAGAGAGGAAGGGAGCCAGGGAACGGAAUUGCGGAAACAUUCUCUCAGUCAUGUGAAUUUUACUGCAGAUCAGGAAGUUAUUUAACAGCUGCCAAAAAUCUACCAACUCCAGUGCUCCAAAUGUUGACUAUUUCUCACACAUUACCACCGGGCAUGGAAUCUGCUGCCUUCGGGGUUAUUCAGAUUUCCUGUUCUCUUAAGGCUUCGAUCUCCCCCCAUCUGCCUGGUUUCAUUUGGAGAAGAUUUUCCUUCUAUUCAUUCGCGAGACCAUGUGGCUCCCAUACUUACCUGGGCUGGCUGUUCCACCACCCACCCCCCGUUUUGGGAAUUCUGAAUAUCCUCCCGAGGAAGGAAAGUCGGGUUGAGGAAGGGUCAGAAAAAGGAAGUCGAGCCCGAACUCCAGGCGUGCAUUAUUUUAUUUUUCCCAGGGUGCCUUUGACUCAUUCCAGGAAAAAAGUGCAGCACAAGAAGUAAUUUUAGUGGGUGCCCUUCUUUCCCUCCAGUAAGGAACGCACUAUUCCCCAGUGCUGAAGCAGGUUCACAGGCAGGAAUCUGGCCUUCUACGGUCUUGUAUCCCGCAAAGAAGUGAGCACACUAUAGGCGCUUAGGCAAUACAUUUGGUUGACUGAAUGAAUGUUCUGAUGGAGAAGGGGCAAUUGUUGGGAUCAAUCGGAAGUAAAGGCGCGCGCGUGUGUAUCCUGUGCCUCCCGAGUCUAUUUCAGGUUCACACACGAGAUUCCCUCAAGGGGAUCCGUUCCCACACACAUCACAGCCCUGGAACCAGCCCGGUUCUCCUGAUAACCAGGGCCUCGGCGUCGAGGGAGACCGCUCCAGCUGACCCGUUUAACAAGGCAGCACGUCACUGUGACCUCUACUCGGCAGUGCUCCUUUCCCGUCCCUUGAGGCUCAAGAUGAGCCGAAACCACCAGAUGAGUCCAGAUUGCCCCGCAUCACCAGGAGCAGAGCCCUGUCAGAGGUCCCCCUCCCCCUCCCCAUUUUCCUUCCAAAUGGGAUGGAGCUGCAGGAUCGGGUUACCUAGGGCGACUUGCGUUCAAGUGAGGCGGCUGGUGCUGUACUGAAGCCAUCAACGAAGCCUUUCAGGAACAGAAUCUAGCCCAGGAAGGGACUUUAAAGAUGGACCGGUUGUGGGGGGCGGGCUGGGCUGGAGAGGAGGUGACUUGCCUAGGAACCUUGAGCCCUCUGUGGCAGAGAUGAGGCGACUCUAGAUCAGAUUCAGUUACUCUAGGUGCUUUGGCACUAUCCCUGCUGAUAAAUGCUUCUGUCUUAAUGUAUUCAAGAUACGUUGGCUGUUUCUCCAGGCCCUAGCACAUUGCUUGGUACAGAGCGGGCACUUAAUAAAUAUUUACUAAAUAAAUAUUGAACAAAC